rnacentral:rRNA from 1 species
CCUACGGGAGGCAGCAGUAGGGAAUAUUGGUCAAUGGGUGAGAGCCUGAACCAGCCAUGCCGCGUGCAGGAAGACGGCCUUCUGGGUUGUAAACUGCUUUUGUCAGGGGAUAAAAUUUCCUUGCGAGGAAAAUUGAAGGUACCUGGCGAAUAAGCCACGGCUAACUACGUGCCAGCAGCCGCGGUAAUACGUAGGUGGCAAGCGUUGUCCGGAUUUAUUGGGUUUAAAGGGUGCGUAGGCGGCCUAUUAAGUCAGUGCUGAAAUUUCCCGGCUUAACCGGGAGGGUGGCAUUGAUACUGAUGGGCUAGAGUACAGAUGAGGUAGGCGGAAUUGACGGUGUAGCGGUGAAAUGCUUAGAUAUCGUCAAGAACACCUAUAGCGAAGGCAGCUUACUAGGCUGUAACUGACGCUGAGGCACGAAAGUGUGGGGAUCAAACAG